rnacentral:rRNA from 1 species
UGGGAGCUUGCUCCCUGAUGUUAGCGGCGGACGGGUGAGUAACACGUGGGUAACCUGCCUGUAAGACUGGGAUAACUCCGGGAAACCGGGGCUAAUACCGGAUGGUUGUUUGAACCGCAUGGUUCAAACAUAAAAGGUGGCUUCGGCUACCACUUACAGAUGGACCCGCGGCGCAUUAGCUAGUUGGUGAGGUAACGGCUCACCAAGGCAACGAUGCGUAGCCGACCUGAGAGGGUGAUCGGCCACACUGGGACUGAGACACGGCCCAGACUCCUACGGGAGGCAGCAGUAGGGAAUCUUCCGCAAUGGACGAAAGUCUGACGGAGCAACGCCGCGUGAGUGAUGAAGGUUUUCGGAUCGUAAAGCUCUGUUGUUAGGGAAGAACAAGUACCGUUCGAAUAGGGCGGUACCUUGACGGUACCUAACCAGAAAGCCACGGCUAACUACGUGCCAGCAGCCGCGGUAAUACGUAGGUGGCAAGCGUUGUCCGGAAUUAUUGGGCGUAAAGGGCUCGCAGGCGGUUUCUUAAGUCUGAUGUGAAAGCCCCCGGCUCAACCGGGGAGGGUCAUUGGAAACUGGGGAACUUGAGUGCAGAAGAGGAGAGUGGAAUUCCACGUGUAGCGGUGAAAUGCGUAGAGAUGUGGAGGAACACCAGUGGCGAAGGCGACUCUCUGGUCUGUAACUGACGCU